rnacentral:tmRNA from 1 species
GGGCUUGACUGGUUUUGACAGCGGGCAGAAAUGGUUUGUAAGCAUGCAGUGCGUCGUUGUUCGGCACUAUAAUCUCGGAUGAUAACAAUUUAAUUGGCGAAAAUAAUUACGCUCUCGCAGCCUGAUUGAAGCAUAGUAGAUCAUAAGCUUUAUUCCGGUUCCAGGAACCGGAACGAGACAUCACCCGGAAGCUGUGGCUUCGAAGCAAUCCGAAACGGUGGUGCAGGAAUAUCGGAGAUAGUUUGAAAGAAGUCCCGGCUUUCAGGCGAAACUCAGGGAAUAAGUUUCAUAUUGGUAGCCUUACGCUUGUGUGAAAUCGAAAAUCUCAGUAAGGAUAAGCAUGUAGAAAGCAAAUUAGUUCCUCGUUUGGACGAGGGUUCGAAUCCCUCCAGGUCCAC